CCUACGGGAGGCAGCAGUGGGGAAGAUUGCACAAUGGGGGAAACCCUGAUGCAGCGACGCCGCGUGGAGGAAGAAGUAUUUCGGUAUGUAAACUUCUAUCAGCAGGGAAGAAGAAAUGACGGUACCUGAGUAAGAAGCACCGGCUAAAUCCGUGCCAGCAGCCGCGGUAAUACGUAGGGUGCAAGCGUUAUCCGGAUUUACUGGGUGGAAAGGGAGCGCAGGCGUCACGGCAAGCCUGAUGUGAAAGCCCGCGGCCCAACCGCGGGACGGCCUUGGGAACGACCGGGCUGGAGUGCCGGAGAGGUAGGCGUACUUCCUCUUGUCGCGGUGACAUGCGUAGAUCUUAGUCGG
rnacentral:rRNA from 1 species